GUGUUCACUUCAGCAGCGCAUAUAGUAAAAUGGCAACUGAUACAGAGAUUGGCAUGGCCCCUACACAAAGAUGAUAUGCAAAUUUGUGAAGUGGUACAUAUUUUU
ensembl:snRNA U6 U6 spliceosomal RNA